rnacentral:rRNA from 1 species
CCUACGGGAGGCUGCAGUGGGGAAUAUUGGGCAAUGGGCGCAAGCCUGACCCAGCAAUGCCGCGUGAAGGAAGAAGGCUUUCGGGUUUUAAACUUCUUUGACAGGGGAAGAGCAGAAGACGGUACCCUGACAACAAGCCACGGCUAACUACGUGCCAGCAGCCGCGGUAAUACGUAGGUGGCAAGCGUUGUCCGGAUUUACUGGGUGUAAAGGGCGUGUAGCCGGGAAUGCAAGUCAGUUGUAAAAUCUGGAGGCUCAACCUCCAAAUUGCAUUUGAAACUGUUGUUCUUGAGUACAGGAGGGGCAGACGGAAUUCCUUGUGUAGCGGUGAAAUGCGUAGAUAUAAGGAGGAACACCAGUGGCGAAGGCGGUCGGCUGGACAGCAACUGACGGUGAGGCGCGAAAGCGUGGGGAGCAAACAGGAUUAGAUACCCGGGUAGUC